ACACCACGUUGAAACACCUGUUCCCGUACGAUCACCGAAGCAAUGACAGGCCUGGCCAGUACCUAGAUGGGUAACCGCUUGGGAAUAUCAGAUGAUGUAAG